rnacentral:rRNA from 1 species
GCUAGUCGUACGAGUUCAUACUCGUGGCGAAUAGCUCAGUAACACGUGGCCAAACUACCCUUCGGAGCUCCAUACCCUCGGGAAACUGAGGCUAAUAGAGCAUACCACAAUCCAGCUGGAAUGAGGAUUGUGCCAAACGCUCCGGCGCCGAAGGAUGUGGCUGCGGCCGAUUAGGUAGACGGUGGGGUAACGGCCCACCGUGCCAAUAAUCGGUACGGGUCAUGAGAGUGAGAACCCGGAGACGGAAUCUGAGACAAGAUUCCGGGCCCUACGGGGCGCAGCAGGCGCGAAACCUUUACACUGCACGCCAGUGCGAUAAGGGGAUCCCAAGUGCGCAGGCAUAGAGCCUGCGCUUUUGUACACCGUAGGGAGGUGUACGAAUAAGGGCUGGGCAAGACCGGUGCCAGCCGCCGCGGUAAUACCGGCAGCCCGAGUGAUGGCCGAUCUUAUUGGGCCUAAAGCGUCCGUAGCUGGCCGCACAAGUCCAUCGGAAAAUCCACCCGCCCAACGGGUGGGCGUCCGGUGGAAACUGUGUGGCUUGGGACCGGAAGGCGCGACGGGUACGUCCGGGGUAGGAGUGAAAUCCCGUAAUCCUGGACGGACCGCCGAUGGCGAAAGCACGUCGCGAGGACGGAUCCGACAGUGAGGGACGAAAGCCAGGGUCUCGAACCGGAUUAGAUACCCGGGUAGUCCUGGCCGUAAACAAUGUCUGUUAGGUGUGGCUCCCACUACGAGUGGGUGCUGUGCCGUAGGGAAGCCGCUAAACAGACCGCCUGGGAAGUACGUCCGCAAGGAUGAAACUUAAAGGAAUUGGCGGGGGAGCACUACAACCGGAGGAGCCUGCGGUUUAAUUGGACUCAACGCCGGACAUCUCACCAGCAUCGACUGUAGUAAUGACGAUC